rnacentral:rRNA from 1 species
CAAACGCUGGCGGCGUGCCUAACACAUGCAAGUCGUACGAGAAAGUCGGCUUCGGCCGAUGAGUACAGUGGCGCACGGGUGAGUAACGCGUGGGUAAUCUACCCCUCGGUCAGGAAUAACCCGCCGAAAGGCGGGCUAAUACCGGAUAACACUGACACUCUGCGGAGUGUUUUUUCAAAGGAGGCCUCUGUUUACAAGCUUUCGCCGAAGGAUGAGCCCGCGUACCAUUAGCUAGUUGGCAGGGUAAUGGCCUACCAAGGCAACGAUGGUUAGCUGGUCUGAGAGGAUGACCAGCCACACUGGAACUGAGAUACGGUCCAGACUCCUACGGGAGGCAGCAGUGAGGAAUCUUGCGCAAUGGGGGAAACCCUGACGCAGCAACGCCGCGUGAGUGAGGAAGGCCUUUCGGGUCGUAAAGCUCUGUCAGAUGGAAAGAAAUGGGUGAAGGUCAAUACCCUCCAUUCUUGACGGUACCAUCAGAGGAAGCACCGGCUAACUCCGUGCCAGCCGCUGC